UAGGGAAUAUUGGACAAUGGGGGCAACCCUGAUCCAGCCAUGCCGCGUGAGUGAAGAAGGCCCUCGGGUUGUAAAGCUCUUUUGUCCGGAAAGAAAAGCUUCGGGUUAAUACCCCGGGGUUCUGACGGUACCGGAAGAAUAAGCACCGGCUAACUUCGUGCCAGCAGCCGCGGUAAUACGAAGGGUGCAAGCGUUACUCGGAAUUACUGGGCGUAAAGCGUGCGUAGGUGGUUGUUUAAGUCUGAUGUGAAAGCCCUGGGCUCAACCUGGGAAUGGCAUUGGAAACUGGGCAGCUAGAGUGCGGUAGAGGGUAGUGGAACUCCCGGUGUAGCAGUGAAAUGCGUAGAGAUCGGGAGGAACAUCUGUGGCGAAGGCGACUGCCUGGACCAGCACUGACACUGAGGCACGAAAGCGUGGGGAGCAAACA
rnacentral:rRNA from 1 species